UACGUAGGUGGCGAGCGUUAUCCGGAAUGAUUGGGCGUAAAGGGUGCGUAGGCGGCCUGCUAAGUCUGGAGUGAAAGGUACCGGCUCAACCGGUACAGGCUCUGGAAACUGGCGGGCUAGAGAGCAGGAGAGGGCGGUGGAACUCCAGGUGUAGCGGUGAAAUGCUUAGAGAUCAUACAGAACACCGAUUGCGAAGGCAGCUUACCAAACUAUAUCUGACGUUGAGGCACGAAAGCGUGGGUAGCAAACAGG
rnacentral:rRNA from 1 species